rnacentral:piRNA from 1 species
CGUUUAGAAAGAAGGCAGCAAACUGAA